rnacentral:rRNA from 1 species
CCUUAGAGUUUGAUCCUGGCUCAGGACGAACGCUGGCGGCGCGCCUAACACAUGCAAGUCGAACGGAGCUUAGAGAGCUUGCUUUUUAAGCUUAGUGGCGAACGGGUGAGUAACGCGUGAGUAACCUGCCCUAGAGUGGGGGACAACAGUUGGAAACGACUGCUAAUACCGCAUAAGCCCACGGUACCGCAUGGUACUGAGGGAAAAGGAUUUAUUCGCUUUAGGAUGGACUCGCGUCCAAUUAGCUAGUUGGUGAGGUAACGGCCCACCAAGGCGACGAUUGGUAGCCGGACUGAGAGGUUGAACGGCCACAUUGGGACUGAGACACGGCCCAGACUCCUACGGGAGGCAGCAGUGGGGGAUAUUGCACAAUGGGGGAAACCCUGAUGCAGCGACGCCGCGUGGAGGAAGAAGGUUUUCGGAUUGUAAACUCCUGUCGUUAGGGACGAUAAUGACGGUACCUAACAAGAAAGCACCGGCUAACUACGUGCCAGCAGCCGCGGUAAAACGUAGGGUGCAAGCGUUGUCCGGAAUUACUGGGUGUAAAGGGAGCGCAGGCGGGAAGACAAGUUGGAAGUGAAAACCAUGGGCUCAACCCAUGAAUUGCUUUCAAAACUGUUUUUCUUGAGUAGUGCAGAGGUAGAUGGAAUUCCCGGUGUAGCGGUGGAAUGCGUAGAUAUCGGGAGGAACACCAGUGGCGAAGGCGGUCUACUGGGCACCAACUGACGCUGAGGCUCGAAAGCAUGGGUAGCAAACAGGAUUAGAUACCCUGGUAGUCCAUGCCGUAAACGAUGAUUACUAGGUGUUGGGGGAUUGACCCCCUCAGUGCCGCAGUUAACACAAUAAGUAAUCCACCUGGGGAGUACGACCGCAAGGUUGAAACUCAAAGGAAUUGACGGGGGCCCGCACAAGCAGUGGAGUAUGUGGUUUAAUUCGAAGCAACGCGAAGAACCUUACCUGGUCUUGACAUCCUUCUGAUCGGUCCUUAGCCGGACUUUUCCUUCGGGACAGGAGUGACAGGUGGUGCAUGGUUGUCGUCAGCUCGUGUCGUGAGAUGUUGGGUUAAGUCCCGCAACGAGCGCAACCCCUAUCUUUAGUAGCCAGCAUUUCAGGUGGGCACUCUAGAGAGACUGCCAGGGAUAACCUGGAGGAAGGUGGGGACGACGUCAAAUCAUCAUGCCCCUCAUGACCAGGGCUACACACGUGCUACAAUGGCGUAAACAGAGGGAAGCAGCCUCGUGAGAGUGAGCAAAUCCCAAAAAUAACGUCUCAGUUCGGAUUGUAGUCUGCAACUCGACUACAUGAAGCUGGAAUCGCUAGUAAUCGCGAAUCAGAAUGUCGCGGUGAAUACGUUCCCGGGUCUUGCACACACCGCCCGUCA